UUGCUCCCUCGUGUCCAGUUGUUCGGCACGUUGGGUUUUUGUUACCCCCGUUUUAUAAAAAAAUAUAAAAUUAUAAAUAUAUUGUACAUGGAUAUCCCAUUUUGGGCUUCUUUUCUUUAGUGUUGUCUUGAUUGCUUAUUUUCGUUGCAGAUUCUUUCAAGUCACAGCUGGCGUGGAGAGACUACGACCUGGAGGAAAAGGGCCAUUGGCAGUCAUGCCAGUCGGGGACCCGGCGGCCGGAAUGCCACUUCGGCCGAAGAGCAGAGGAUGAGAAUGCGCUGACAUAGUGAGGAGUCAUCUGGGCGUCACAUUCUGCAGAGCGAAGUUUUAGCUGGACCAGGCGUUGAUCAUUUUGUGCUGCUUAUCUUGGGAUAUCAUGAACCAACUAGAAAGGGGUUCCUCAUUCCAAAGAAGAAAAUCCCAAAAAGGAAAAAUGCAGUGUGAACCCACCCUAAGAAAUACAGGUUAUAAAUAUAGUAGGGAAGAAAAUUGCUGGUGGCUCAGAGCUAAAGUUUACAGUGGCCAAACUGAACAAUGAAAAUGGCCAGCUAUGGAAGUUUCAAAUGGAGAUAGAUAUUCCUAUUUAGAGAUGACAUCUGGGAGAGGAUUACAGCCAUGGGCCACCAUAAGCUUAUAAGUGGUGGAUGACCAGCGGAUCCACGUAAGACAAAGCACUGCUUAAGAAAAAAGAUGUGAAAAGCGCUGCAAAAGUAGCAUGAAUGACCCAGUAUGGACGAACCAGCCAUGGCAAGUUAUUGCUGCUUACGAAAUGAACUAAUGCACUGGAGACAAAGCCAGAGGCAGACCUGACCUUGGAAUUUUUAAAGAACAGGAUAGGAACUUUUGCAGGACUCCAUAGAUGAUGACACCGAAAAUGUUCUCUAAAUGGGCACUGUCAGAAUCAAAAACUGUCAGAAUCAAAUGGUGAAAUAUUAACCUUUUUAAUCUACUUCAUAAAAAAAUGUUAUCUCUUUUUUUAUAGAAAUCAUGGCUUAUAAAAAAAAAAGACCACUAGGGGUCACCAUACC